UACAGAGGUCCCGAGCGUUGUUCGGAUUCACUGGGCGUAAAGGGUGCGUAGGUGGCAUGGCCAGUUUGAUGUGAAAGCUCAGGGCUUAACCCUGAAAUGGCAUUGAAUACUGCUGUGCUGGAGGUUUGGAGGGGGACUGGAAUUCUUGGUGUAGCAGUGAAAUGCGUAGAUAUCAAGAGGAACACCAGUGGCGAAGGCGAGUCCCUGGACAACACCUGACACUGAGGCACGAAAGCCGGGGGAGCAAACAGG
rnacentral:rRNA from 1 species